GACGAACGCUGGCGGCGUGCUUAACACAUGCAAGUCGAACGGAAAGGCCCUGCUUUUGUGGGGUGCUCGAGUGGCGAACGGGUGAGUAACACGUGAGUAACCUGCCCUUGACUUUGGGAUAACUUCAGGAAACUGGGGCUAAUACCGGAUAGGAGCUCCUGCUGCAUGGUGGGGGUUGGAAAGUUUCGGCGGUUGGGGAUGGACUCGCGGCUUAUCAGCUUGUUGGUGGGGUAGUGGCUUACCAAGGCUUUGACGGGUAGCCGGCCUGAGAGGGUGACCGGCCACAUGGGGACUGAGAUACGGCCCAGACUCCUACGGGAGGCAGCAGGGGGGAAUAUUGCACAAUGGGCGGAAGCGUGAUGCAGCAACGCCGCGUGCGGGAUGACGGCCUUCGGGUGGUAAACCGCUUUCGCCUGUGACGAAGCGUGAGUGAGGGUAAUGGGUAAAGAAGCACCGGCGAACUACGG
rnacentral:rRNA from 1 species